AAUCAACGCUGGCGGCGUGCCUCAGACAUGCAAGUCGAACGAUUAAAGCUCUCUUCGGAGAGUGCAUAGAGUGGCGCACGGGUGAGUAACACGUAAGUAAUCUACCUUCGAGUGGGGAAUAACGUCCGGAAACGGACGCUAAUACCGCAUAAUGCAGCGGCAUCGCAAGAUGACAGUUGUUAAAGGAGCAAUUCGCUUGAAGAGGAGCUUGCGGCAGAUUAGCUAGUUGGUAAGGUAAUGGCUUACCAAGGCUACGAUCUGUAACCGGUCUAAGAGGACGGUCGGUCACACUGACACUGAAUAACGGGUCAGACUCCUACGGGAGGCAGCAGUGGGGAAUAUUGGACAAUGGGGGCAACCCUGAUCCAGCGAUGCCGCGUGGGCGAAGAAGGCCU
rnacentral:rRNA from 1 species